rnacentral:rRNA from 1 species
UACGGGGGGAGCAAGCGUUGUUCGGAUUUACUGGGCGUAAAGGGCGCGUAGGCGGCCAGCACAAGUCAGUUGUGAAAUCUCCGAGCUUAACUCGGAAAGGUCAACUGAUACUGUGCGGCUAGAGUGCGGAAGGGGCAACUGGAAUUCUUGGUGUAGCGGUGAAAUGCGUAGAGAUCAUGAGGAAGACCAGUGGCGAAGGCGGGUCUCUGGACAGUUCCUGACACUGAGACACGAAGGCCAGGGGAGCAAACGGG